rnacentral:rRNA from 1 species
UGCCAGCAGCCGCGGUAAUACGUAUGGGGCGAUCGUUGUUCGGAAUCAUUGGGCGUAAAGGGCGCGCAGGCGGCCUUGCAAGCUUGGUGUCAAAGGCUCUGGCUCAACCAGAGUUGUGCGCUGAGAACUGCAAGGCUCGAGUUAUCGAGGGGAAGCUGGAAUUCCUGGUGUAGGGGUGAAAUCUGUAGAUAUCAGGAAGAACACCGGUGGCGAAGGCGAGCUUCUGGCGAAUAACUGACGCUGAGGCGCGAAAGCGUGGGGAGCGAACAGGAUUAGAUA